CUCGUGUAAACAAAGCCUUUGUUAAAGGUCAGCUCAGCGCACGCUGGCUUCUGCCUGUGGAAGUGUUUGCGCGGUGUGUUGUAGCAUGACAACAGACUAUUGUUAUGAGAGAAAAACCCAGCCUAAGCCACUACUGAGACACUGUCACAGGCAACUUUGGGUGACAUUGAGACAUUCAGUAAGGCAAAGUGAAGUACCUUGAACUGCUGGGUACUGAACUGCUGU
rnacentral:lncRNA from 1 species